UACGUAGGGUGCGAGCGUUAAUUGGAAUUACUGGGCGUAAAGCGUGCGCAGGCGGUUCGUUGUGUCGGCGGUGAAAGCCCCGGGCUUAACCUGGGAAUGGCCGUUGAAACUGGCGAACUGGAGUGUGGCAGAGGGGGGUGGAAUUCCGCGUGUAGCAGUGAAAUGCGUAGAGAUGCGGAGGAACACCGAUGGCGAAGGCAGCCCCCUGGGCUAACACUGACGCUCAGGCACGAAAGCGUGGGGAGCAAACAGG
rnacentral:rRNA from 1 species